GAACGAACGCUGGCGGCAUGCCUAACACAUGCAAGUCGAACGAGACCUUCGGGUCUAGUGGCGCACGGGUGCGUAACGCGUGGGAAUCUGCCCUUGGGUUCGGAAUAACAGUUGGAAACGACUGCUAAUACCGGAUGAUGACGUAAGUCCAAAGAUUUAUCGCCCAAGGAUGAGCCCGCGUAGGAUUAGCUAGUUGGUGAGGUAAAGGCUCACCAAGGCGACGAUCCUUAGCUGGUCUGAGAGGAUGAUCAGCCACACUGGGACUGAGACACGGCCCAGACUCCUACGGGAGGCAGCAGUGGGGAAUAUUGGACAAUGGGCGAAAGCCUGAUCCAGCAAUGCCGCGUGAGUGAUGAAGGCCUUAGGGUUGUAAAGCUCUUUUACCCGGGAUGAUAAUGACAGUACCGGGAGAAUAAGCUCCGGCUAACUCCGUG
rnacentral:rRNA from 1 species